GGAGAUAGAGGGUAAAGUUGC
rnacentral:siRNA from 1 species